rnacentral:lncRNA from 1 species
UUGGGGUUUUGUAAAGUUCAUCUCUGACGAUUAUACUGAAGAGAUGUACAUAACGCAGAAGAUGCAGUGAGUUUAUUGAUGGUUUCUGUGCUUGGCCAAGUUACAGUGCCGUCAUCCAGCCUUCAAGCAUGGUUCAGAAGCCAUGAACCACAAAUCAGCAUGUUUCCUUCCAGUUUCCAAUGAGCACUCUGACAGCAUCACUUAGCAUGCCAGUAUUCAACAUUGUGCAGAUCAUCUCUGUAAAGAUGGCUGUGUUGCUUCAGUUGCCACAUCUCUACGUAUGUUCUUCCUGUUAGCAAAGGCACACUGUGACAGCAUAUACUUUCUACAUGCUAAUACAUGCACAGUAUUGUUCAGGGAAAGACAUAUGCAAACCUAUCAGCUUCCAAAGUCGGCAACAUCCUGCUGUCACUACAGUCUCAGCACCUACCAGCUCCCACUCUGUCAGCAACAUCCUGCUGUCACAUGUCCAGCUACUGGUACUUGAAGUUACUGUGUGCUUGUACAUUCUCAGCACCUACUAGCUCUCACUCUGUCAGCAACAUCCUGCUGUCACAUGUCCAGCUAUUGGUACUCGGAGUUACUAUUUGCUUGUACUUUCUCAGCACCUACCAGCUCCCACUCUGUCAGCAACAUCCUGUCCAGCUACCGGCACUUGGAGUUAUUGUGUGCUUGUACAUUCUCAGCACCUACUAGUUCCCACUCUGUCAGCAACAUCCUGCUGUCACACCUCCAGAUAUGUGGAGUUAUUGUGCUUUUACAGUCUCAGCCAGUAUUGGAUUGCAAGUUGUCUUAUGCUGCUACAACCUACACAUUUAGCAUUCUCUUGAACCUUGAGGAACCACCAUAUGAACAAAGAGACUCUGAAACACUCAUAAUAAACCUGUCACGGUGGUUUGUUGAACAUUCGUAUUAUUUGGAGGACUUGCAAUUAGCUCAUAUAGUCAACUAGCUAUUCCAGUCCUCUGGAAGAGUUAGUUGGCUGCUUGAGGUUAUUCUAUACUAGUAGCAUGCCUUUUUUGUGCACGGUCAAGAGUAGAUCGAGAAAGCAGUUGUUUUUAAGGGCAAAACAAUUGUUCUUGUUCCUUGAAAAAGUUGGUCAAAACAUUUUCCCAACCAAUUUUUUUAUUUAAACAGUAAGAUAAAGGGCAACAAGGACUGUUUAAUGCCAUUUCUACUUGGUAGAAAAACAAUUCAAUGCUAAUUUUUAUCCAAGAUAUUCAAAGCUUUGGUGUUAUUGGCAAAGAGAGUACCCACAAGAGUGGUUGUGACAUGUACAUGCAAUACUGUUUGCAAUGAUUAUGCUAUUAUUAUGAUAAAAAUCGUGCAAAGUACGGCGUUAAAAUGGGCUUUCUCCUUGUACAUAGCACAAUACAUAAGUGAUUGUGAUCAUAAAUGUAUUGAAUUACAUAAAAUAUGAUUGUGGAUAAAUAUUUGGUAAUUUUGGGGAGGGGUGAGUGUAGGGGGGGGGGGGAGGGAGGGAGCAUAUUAAUGCCGGUGCAUACUUUGUCUGAUUGCUAUGAAAAUGUGAUAUUAUCAAGCAUUGGCUGAUUCAUGUUCGCACCAAGUAUGCCAGUGUCAUGGUCUCACUUAUCAGGUGUGCGCACUUCUCCAAAAGGGACAUUUAACUUCAAUACGCACGUGCAAAAUUGUGCUGCGGCUGUACAUUAUCGCCAACCUUAUUGCGUGUGCUCACUGCACUGUGUUUGUGAAGAAGUGAGCACAUUAUAAGUAAGACUGUGACACUGGCUAAGCUAUGAAUUGCUACCGAGAUAAUUGCCUACUUUUGCGUCAUUUCGUCUAUGUUAAUUUAAGUAUUUGUUUACAAUAUCAUUUAUAGAUUAAACUCAUUAAAGAGACACUGCAGCCUGGCAAAUGCGCAAUUGGGCUACAAAAUGCAUUUUGAGUCGAAUGGUGUUAAGUGCUUGGGAUAUAAACAACUACACAAACAUCCAUUGAAAAUCACCUGGGGGGGGGGCACUUUUGCAACCCUCAAAAUAUGUGUGUUCAGUGCUGGUUGAGAUUCCAGCUGUAAACGUUUCACCCUCUGCGCACAUCAACCGGAUGUUUCAAGCAAGAUAUCGUAAACAAUGCAAAACAUGACAUUUUCAAGGAUUUCAGGGAACAAUAAUUUAUGGAAUUUUGAGGAAACAUUUUUGCUAUUUUGUUUGGUAGAAUACUAUUGUUUUAUAUUAAAGAAAAUGCUUUCAUACAAAUAAAAAAAUUAUACAAA